CCUACGGGAGGCAGCAGUGGGGAAUAUUGGGCAAUGGGCGCAAGCCUGACCCAGCAACGCCGCGUGAAGGAAGAAGGCUUUCGGGUUGUAAACUUCUUUUAAGAGGGAAGAGCAGAAGACGGUACCUCUUGAAUAAGCCACGGCUAACUACGUGCCAGCAGCCGCGGUAAUACGGAGGUGGCAAGCGUUGUCCGGAUUUACUGGGGGUAAAGGGCGUGCAGCCGGGAAGACAAGUCAGAGGGGAAAUCCCGCGGCUCAACCGCGGAACUGCAUUUGAAACUGUUUUUCUUGAGUACCGGAGAGGUCAUCGGAAUUCGUGGUGUAGCGGUGAAAUGCGUAGAUAUAAGGAAGAACACCAGUGGCGAAGGCGGAUGACUGGACGGCAACUGACGGUGAGGCGCGAAAGCGUGGGGAGCAAACAGGAUUAGAUACCCGAGUAGUC
rnacentral:rRNA from 1 species